rnacentral:rRNA from 1 species
CCUACGGGCGGCAGCAGUGAGGAAUAUUGGUCAAUGGGCGAGAGCCUGAACCAGCCAAGUCGCGUGAGGGAGUACUGCCCUAUGGGUUGUAAACCUCUUUUGUCGGGGAGCAAAAGCCGGACGUGUCCGGCUGUGAGAGUACCCGAAGAAAAAGCAUCGGCUAACUCCGUGCCAGCAGCCGCGGUAAUACGGAGGAUGCGAGCGUUAUCCGGAUUUAUUGGGUUUAAAGGGUGCGCAGGCGGAUUUUUAAGUCAGCGGUAAAAUCGUGGGGCUCAACCCCAUCCAGCCGUUGAAACUGGGGAUCUAGAGUGUGCGAGAGGUAUGCGGAAUGCGUGGUGUAGCGGUGAAAUGCAUAGAUAUCACGCAGAACCCCGAUUGCGAAGGCAGCAUACCGGUGAACAACUGACGCUCAGGCACGAAAGCGUGGGUAUCGAACAGGAUUAGAUACCCUUGUAGUC